AAACCAGCAACAUUGAUAUCCCUAAUGUAUAUUCAUUGUAGAUUGUAUACAAAGUCAGUCUGGCAAUAGUAAUGCCAUCUUAUUAGCCUUCAGGACACUGAAGUCAUCAUGGUCCCUGAAAAUGGCUACAAAG
rnacentral:snoRNA from 1 species